rnacentral:rRNA from 1 species
AUACGUAGGUGACAAGCGUUAUCCGGAUUUACUGGGCGUAAAGGGCGUGUAGGCGGUCUUGCAAGUCAGAGGUGAAAUUCCUGAGCUCAACUCGGGCGCUGCUUCUGAAACUGCAGGACUUGAGUGCUGGAGGGGAUAGCGGAAUUCCUAGCGGAGCGGGAAAAUGCGCAGAUAUUAGGAAGAACACCGGUGGCGAAGGCGGCUAUCUGGACAGUAACUGACGCUGAGGAGCGAAAGCUAGGGGAGCAAACAGGAUUAGAUACCCUGGUAGUCCUAGCCGUAAACGAUGGACACUAGGUGUGGGGGAAUAUUUCUUCCGUGCCGCAGCUAACGCAUUAAGUGUCCCGCCUGGGGAGUACGGCCGCAAGGCUGAAACUCAAAGGAAUUGACGGGG